rnacentral:rRNA from 1 species
CAGCCGUAAACUAUGCUCGCUAGGUGUCAGGCAUGGCGCGACCGUGUCUGGUGCCGCAGGGAAGCCGUGAAGCUAGCCACCUGGGAAGUACGGCCGCAAGGCUGAAACUUAAAGGAAUUGGCGGGGGAGCACAACAACGGGUGGAGCCUGCGGUUUAAUUGGACUCAACGCCGGGAAGCUCACCGGAUAAGACAGCGGAAUGAUUGCCGGGCUGAAGACUCUGCAUGACUAGCUGAGAGGAGGUGCAUGGCGUAGACGUCU